UCCUCGGUGGUAUACCGGCCAAUACACGCGUGCAAUAUGUGUUGGGUCGAUUCCAUGGCUUUGUGAACGCGAGAACGAGGUUCGACUCCUCGUCGAGGAG